GGAAAGGCCAAACCGCUUUCCACAGCGUCCUUACCAUUUCAUAUUCUCACCAGCAGUGUAUGAGGGUUCCAGUUUCUUCGCAUGCUUAUUACCCUUGUUGUUUUCCAUCUUUUUAUCAUGGCUGUCCUAAUAGGUGUAGAGUGGUAUCUCCUGUGAUUUUGAUUUCCCUAAUGACUAAUGAUGUCGGGCCUUUUUUGUGUGCUUAUUGGCUAUUUGCAAGGAGAGAGCAAUGGCUUUGCAGCAUGGGAGCCCCAAGUGUGUGAGUCCGUGCUGUGCAACCCUGGUUGACAAUGGCAAAGCCAUUUAGACCUCGGUUUCCUGGCACAAUGAAUAGUUAUUGAAUCUGCGUCUGUCCAGGGGACGGGGACAGAAAAAAGUCUUUGACUUGGAUCUCCACGUGAGGAAAUGGCCACUACUCCCUAAAGUGAAGGAAAAGAAACACAGGGAGGAGCCAGAGGGGCUCAGAUGCAGGGCCCAGGGAGCGGUCAGACUACACGUGUCUCCAUUAGCAGAGCAUUAUUUUGCAAGAGAAGCGUGUUCCUUUUCUCAAUAGGAAGGAAGAAAUAAAUGAAGGCACCAGCCAGGCCGGAGAAACUUGCAAGUCGCUGUGACUGCUUCGGAUCCAGCACACCCCACCCACCUCGGGCUGUGGACGCCACCUGCAGCAGCCCGGGGAAGACGGAGGAAGAGGCGCUGGCUGCGGAGCAGGUCCUUGGCAAAGAGCGGAAGGUGACGGGGCGCAGGGAGCGCCUGCUCUUAGGAUCCUGCCUCUCAGCUGAGGAGGGAGCAAUUCAAGUUUUAAUAAUCUCAGGCAUAUGAAUGAUGCAAACUUGCAACAGCGUUUGAAAGUGCACUUAUUUAAACUUCUUUUUCCUCUAAAUAGCUUUGCGACUGUCGACCGGUAAAUUUUCCUUUUUAUUUCAUCACAUUCAUCGUUUGCCCUCUUGCCAGCAGGGACCCCACAAUGGCGACAAAUGGGUUCUCCGGGGCAAAUGGCAAAAGAGAGGAAGUUUCCCGUCGGACUUUCCCAAGCCCCCCUCUCCCCGCCCCUUCUUGCACCUGGACCUUCUGAGGCUGUCGCACCCCUCCCCUGGGCGGGGCCGGCACUAGGGAUACUGGAUUUCUCCUACUCUUCCCGCCCCUGGAUUCUUUCAGCCCUCACCCCCUCCCAGGAAAGAGGAAGAGAAGCAGCGGUGACGAGGACAGGCGGUGGUUGCCUACCCAGGAAUCCGAGGUCACACUUUUGUAAGAGACUUGAAGAGCGUGGUCUACGGCUUGUGCUGCGCCGCAGGGGUGUAGACCCAGAGUGCAAGCACAGGCGAAGAUCAGACACUCAUUUCACACUUCUGAUAGAAAAAUGAAGAAUUCAGAACCUGACUGUAAGCUCAAGACAAGAUGCAACAAAAGGAAUAAAAACUCAAAGAUCUUGGAAAAGAAUUCCAGCAACAUCAAACCAAGGAGCACGGACUUGCAGGUUGCUCAUAAAUUCCAGGACCUCUACCGCAUCCACAGGCAGGUGGAGGGCCGUCCCCAUCACCAGCUCUACCAGUGGCACCUCUACCGGCAGGAAUUGGUCCUUCUCCUCCUCCAACUCCUUUACCUCGACUAAGUGAUAUACCACAUCCACCACUAUCACCUUUGUUUGGGGACCUCCUACAAGGAUUACUUCCUGCUCUAACUUAAGAAAUAAAUGUAUAAACCUGAACUCCAUGUAUUGAUUCUUGAACUGCAUGACUUGAUUCUCCAUGAAGAGAAUCAAAUGGUCAAAGGCAAAAUUUUGACUAGAGGUUUUUGGCACCUUCUAGCCCCCAAUAGUCAUUAAUAUGCAAAUAACUGCAUAGCUGUGCACAAGUAUGGUAUAAUAUUACAGAAUACGACCGCUGACUCUUGCUUUCCUUUGUGAACUCACCAUCUUAUGUUUCUCUUUCAGUUCAGUAUCUCAGUAAUUGGAAACUCCAUAGACAAUAUCAAAUUUAUGUAGACGGCAAAGGAGAAUUAAAGUGGUGUAAAGAUAAUUGUGUUAGUUUCCUAAGGCUGCCAUAACGAUUCCCACAAGCUGGGUGGUUUAUAAAAAACAGAAAUUUCUCUCUCACAGUUGUGGAGGGCAGAAGUCCACAAUAACAGUGUAGGUAGUGCCACACUCCCUGAAGGCUCUAGGGGACAAUCUCUUUCUUGCCUUUUCCAGCUUCCAGCAUUUUUGGCAUUCCUUGGUUCAUGGAAUAUCUCUGUUCUGUCUUCACACUGCCUUCUCCCAGUGUCUGUGUAUAAACUUCCCUCUUCCAGGAGUGAAUACAUGUGGUUGCAUUUAUGACCCACCGAACUGACUAUUACAUGUUGAUCUUUUACUCUGCACCAUUAUUACAUUUGUUUAUUAGUGCUAGUAUCUUUUUGAGGAUUCUUUGGCAUACUAGAUGUAUUAGUAUCAUGUCAUCUGCAAAAAGAUUUUCCAAUUUGAAUGCCUUUUAUUUCAUGUUCUGGCCUAUCUGCUAUGGCUACAACUUCCAGUAAAAUCUUGAACUGACGAUAACUGACAUCCUUGUCUUCUUCCUGAUUUUAACGGGAAAGACUUCAGUCUUUCAGCACUGAGUAUGACAUUAGCUGUGGGUUUUUCACAUGUGCCCUUUAUUAUGUUGAAGAAGUUCCUUUCUAUUCCUUUUCUAUUGAG
ensembl:lncRNA